rnacentral:miRNA from 16 species
AAAGACUUCAGGGGACAGUCGG